rnacentral:rRNA from 1 species
UACGGAGGGGGCUAGCGUUGUUCGGAAUUACUGGGCGUAAAGCGCACGUAGGCGGCUUUACAAGUCAGGGGUGAAAGCCCGCGGCUCAACCGCGGAAUUGCCCUUGAGACUGUAUCGCUUGAACACGGGAGAGGUGAGUGGAAUUCCGAGUGUAGAGGUGAAAUUCGUAGAUAUUCGGAAGAACACCAGUGGCGAAGGCGGCUCACUGGUCCGGUACUGACGCUGAGGUGCGAAAGCGUGGGGAGCAAACAGG